rnacentral:rRNA from 1 species
CUAUACAUGCAGUCGAGGGGCAGCACAGGUAGCAAUACUGGGUGGCGACCGGCAAACGGGUGCGGAACACGUACGCAACCUUCCUUCAAGCGGGGAAUAGCCCAGAGAAAUUUGGAUUAAUACCCCAUAAGAAUGUGACCUGGCAUCAGGUAGCAUUUAAAGAUUUAUCACUUGGAGAUGGGCGUGCGUCUGAUUAGGUAGUUGGUGAGGUAACGGCUCACCAAGCCGACGAUCAGUAACUGGCGUGAGAGCGCGACCAGUCACACGGGCACUGAGACACGGGCCCGACUCCUACGGGAGGCAGCAGUAAGGAAUAUUGGUCAAUGGACGCAAGUCUGAACCAGCCAUGCCGCGUGGAGGAUGAAGGCCCUCUGGGUUGUAAACUUCUUUUAUUUGGGACGAAACACUUCUUUUCUAAGAAGCUUGACGGUACCAGAUGAAUAAGCACCGGCUAACUCCGUGCCAGCAGCCGCGGUAAUACGGAGGGUGCAAGCGUUAUCCGGAUUCACUGGGUUUAAAGGGUGCGUAGGCGGACAUGUAAGUCCGUGGUGAAAUCUCUAAGCUUAACUUGGAAACUGCCAUGGAUACUAUAUGUCUUGAAUGUUGUGGAGGUUAGCGGAAUAUGUCAUGUAGCGGUGAAAUGCAUAGAUAUGACAUAGAACACCAAUUGCGAAGGCAGCUGGCUACACAAAUAUUGACGCUGAGGCACGAAAGCGUGGGGAUCAAACAGGAUUAGAUACCCUGGUAGUCCACGCCCUAAACGAUGAUUACUCGACAUACGCGAUACACAGUGUGUGUCUGAGCGAAAGCAUUAAGUAAUCCACCUGGGAAGUACGACCGCAAGGUUGAAACUCAAAGGAAUUGACGG